CCAGACUCCUACGGGAGGCAGCAGUGGGGAAUAUUGCACAAUGGGGGAAACCCUGAUGCAGCGACGCCGCGUGAGCGAUGAAGUAUUUCGGUAUGUAAAGCUCUAUCAGCAGGGAAGAAAAUGACGGUACCUGAAGAAGAAGCCCCGGCUAACUACGUGCCAGCAGCCGCGGUAAUACGUAGGGGGCAAGCGUUAUCCGGAUUUACUGGGUGUAAAGGGGGCGCAGACGGCGAGGCAAGCCAGGAGUGAAAGGCCGGGGCCCAACCCCGGGACUGCUCUUGGAACUGCGUGGCUGGAGUGCAGGAGGGGCAGGCGGAAUUCCUGGUGUAGCGGUGAAAUGCGUAGAUAUCAGGAGGAACACCGGCGGCGAAGGCGGCCUGCUGGACCGUGACUGACGUUGAGGCUCGAGAGCGUGGGGAGCAAACAGGAUUAGAUACCCCGGUA
rnacentral:rRNA from 1 species